rnacentral:lncRNA from 14 species
GCACACUGUUGCCUUAUUAUUAGUCAUACCAAGAAAAAUGUGCUGGGCUUGUUGCUUAACUUAGUUAGGUCAGGCAUGAUAUCAGACCCAGAUAUCAGGUUAGACUGGGGUCUGAGCAGCCUUAUCUAAUUAAAGAUGUCCCUUCUCAUUGCAGGGGAAUUAAACUAUAUGAGCUUUGUAUGUCCCUUCCAAACCAUUCUAUGACUGUAUGGGAGUUGGAAUUCUUCCCUCUGAAUAGUGUGGGAGCUGAGGAGGAGGUGAAUGGUUUCAGUGAGACAAACAGGAGAAUGGUCAUUGUGGGGACAUCUACUUGGAUGAAAAAAGCCAGUGUAAUCCUACUAUCAUCUGACCUAUUUCUCCUCAAAGGCAAACCUUCCAUCUGCCAACCCGGCCUCUAUGCUUUUGCAGCAGUUACAGGAAUAACGACCUCAAAUCUGAGUGAACUGUAAUGAUAUCUGCCAAGGUCCUGGCUCAUCUCAGCAGCAGCAAGGCACACUUUGCUCUCCAAUUGGGUGGAAAACGGAACUUCUUACAAGUAACCUCUGCAAAUAUCCAUCAUGCCCCCCGAAGGUAAAAUCAUCGUUUUCCCUACUAACUGCUGUUAGGAUGAGCUUAUUAGAACAGCUGUCCUGGAGCUAACAUUCUGCAACUUUAUAAAUGCACUUAGAGU